CGCACUUGCGGCCGCUGACGCCCGCUCCGCGGACCCCGCGACCCGUUGCCGGGAAGGUUUUUUUUUUUUUUUUUUUCCUGCUUUUUCAGAGGAAGGAAACAUGAUUUGCGUGCGGAAGGGCCCAGCAAUCUUCACGUCCCUCCAGGCUGGGAUGCGAAGGAGAUACUGAGGUGCUUGAUGAGAAAGGCAGGGGUGAUCAGACUUGGGAGGACGCGGUUGUGAAAGACACAGAAGAAAAGAAACAUUAAAAAAAUAUCUCCUGUUUCGUUUCGGCCAUUUUCCUAUCUAGUUGGAUCCUCACAGUAUCUCUACCAGGGAAUUUCUGGCAAGCAAAAUUGACAGUAGAGAAAAUUCCGUGCGGAGGACCUCGCAGGAGGAACACGGUAAGAAAAACCCCCAACCUCCUGCUAUAGCAUUUAUAAUACAAACUACAGAAAGUAAAGGGGACAAAUUGUUGACAGAGGAAGAAAGGUCAUGGGCAUCCAGAAGAUGGAGAGUCAGAUGCCUGGGGAGGGUGUCUGUGGUUGAUGGGAUGUGGGAGACACAUUUGCUAAUGACAUUUCAUGGCACAUAUAUGGAAUUAUGUCCCUCUGGACUGUGUCUGAGGUAUAGCAUUAAGAUGUUUUAUCUAACAUUUGAUGGAGUUGCUGAAGUCUACAGCCCAAAAGGGAUGGGAGUGGGUAGGGUAGGGGGUCAUUGUGCAACCCAUUUAUUCCUCUCUUGAUGGACAUCUGAAUUGUUUCUAUUGACUUUCUUCCUAUACACUUUAUUUUGUACUGUCUGAAUUUUAUAUCAUCUGUUACUUUUGUGAUCAGGGAAAAAUAAAUAAGACCCAGAGGUCUGGGAUGGCAGGGUGGGUGGAACCAAAGGCUGAGUUUCCCUAAAUUAUCAAGAGCCCUUGCAACUCAUGGUGAAAAAAACAUAAACACUCCAAAAGAAAGAUGUUAAUUGGGGUGCCUGGAUGGCUCAGGGGGUUAAGCCUCUGCCUUUGGCUCAGGUCAUGGU